rnacentral:rRNA from 1 species
GAUGAACGCUGGCGGCGUGCUUAACACAUGCAAGUCGAACGGUGAAAGAGAGCUUGCUCUCUGGAUCAGUGGCGAACGGGUGAGUAACACGUGAGCAAUCUGCCCCUGACUCUGGGAUAACAGCUGGAAACAGCUGCUAAUACCGGAUACGAGUUGCGAAGGCAUCUUCAGCAGCUGGAAAGAAUUUCGGUCAGGGAUGAGCUCGCGGCCUAUCAGCUUGUUGGUGAGGUAAUGGCUCACCAAGGCGUCGACGGGUAGCCGGCCUGAGAGGGUGACCGGCCACACUGGGACUGAGACACGGCCCAGACUCCUACGGGAGGCAGCAGUGGGGAAUAUUGCACAAUAGGCGAAAGCCUGAUGCAGCAACGCCGCGUGAGGGACGACGGCCUUCGGGUUGUAAACCUCUUUUAGCAAGGAAGAAGCGAAAGUGACGGUACUUGCAGAAAAAGCGCCGGCUAACUAC